CAACAGCAAGCCCUGAAUAACUCGCCUUUGCUUUUCUCAUCUGGUUGGCUUUCAUUUUUUUCCACAAGAGGGAGCCAGAAAGGCCCGCGGUUUGCUGGUGUGAAAUGCAACUGGAAAUCCGUAUCAGAAAAUUAGAGAAACAAACAUCAGUGUUUCGCAGACGGGAAAAUGUCACAGUCAGGCUGAACUGCAGGAAAGACACCCAUGAAGUGGCGUGAGUUUUCUUUCUCGGCGGCAGAAGACAGACUUCCCGAAAUGGCCACUAGGUGGCGCUGCGGGCCUCGUCUUCAUCUCCUCCUCAGAUGAACAAAGUUCUCAAAAAGGAAAACAUUUCGCCGAUGUGGAAGCAUGGAAACAAAAAACGGCAGCAGGACUAACAGGCCUCCAAACCGGCAUGUUCAAACCUGUUCCGAGCAGUGGAAAAAAGUGUCCGCAGGUGUAGUGCUUUGAAUGGAGGGUCUUUUGAAGGGGACUGAAGUUUAGACAUGUAAGAAUAAACACAUAAUUUUUAAUAAAUAAAUUUUGUUUUUGCGGGGAGGGAGUGGUUGACCCCUGUAAACAAAUAUCCCA